rnacentral:rRNA from 1 species
CCUACGGGUGGCAGCAGUGGGGAAUAUUGGACAAUGGGCGAAAGCCUGAUCCAGCCAUGCCGCGUGUGUGAAGAAGGCCUUCGGGUUGUAUAGCACUUUCAGUGGGGAAGAAAGCCUUGGGGCUAAUACCCUCGAGGAAGGACAUCACCCACAGAAGAAGCACCGGCUAACUCCGUGCCAGUAGCCGCGGUAAUACGGAGGGUGCGAGCGUUAAUCGGAAUUACUGGGCGUAAAGCGCGCGUAGGCGGUCUGAUAAGCCGGUUGUGAAAGCCCCGGGCUCAACCUGGGAACGGCAUCCGGAACUGUCAGGCUAGAGUGCAGGAGAGGAAGGUAGAAUUCCCGGUGUAGCGGUGAAAUGCGUAGAGAUCGGGAGGAAUACCAGUGGCGAAGGCGGCCUUCUGGACUGACACUGACGCUGAGGUGCGAAAGCGUGGGUAGCAAACAGGAUUAGAUACCCCGGUAGUC